CAAGUCUUAGUAAAAGCUUUUACACAGUGAAACUGCGAAUAGCUCAUUAGAACAGUUAUUAUUUCCUCGUGAUUCGUUACUAAAUGGAUAUCCAUGGUAAUUCUGGAGCUAAUACAUGCAGCCCUCUGGGUCGCAGUCAUCAGUGAAAGACUAAUCAAGCUUGCUUGUUUAUGUGAUAUGGAUGAAUAUGCGGAUCUCUUUACGAGACGAUACGUUCA
rnacentral:ncRNA from 1 species